AUUGUGGGCCAAAAAGGGAAGAACACACUUUUAAAGACUUGGCCAUUUUAUCCUGCAUAUGGUGCUAGAAAAUGACACCAUGACCCAAGGUAACAUAAUAAAAUUUCUCUGACAUCAUUUCCCAAAACAGGGAUUCAACUAGCAGUCCUCUGUAGGGAAGAAGAGCUCCCCCCACCCCCACCCCCAACUCAGUAGUGGGUGUGAGAAACCUUGACUCUAACAGUGAGAAAGUUGAGUUGAAUAGUAAGCCAAACAGUUUGCUUUGCUUGCACUUCCACCUGCCACAACACACCUGCAGCACUGUAGCUGGAGAUGUUCCCCAUGCCUACAGUUCUACAGUGGGAAACGGUCACUGCAGACAGAUAUUCAGCUUUCCCCAUCUCAUCCUUUUCGGUAGGCUUAGGUAUGUAUUUUCUUCUGGGAAAUACUGGGCUUGCCAGGAGAGCCAAUCCACCUGUAGUCAGGUACAAAUGAGGUAUGGUUCUCAGCAGACAGGAUGUAGAUCUUGACACUGCUGUCCAUUCCACUGGGAGGUCUCACAACAGAGAAACUAGCCAAAUCAUGGCUGCCUGAAUGUCCCUGUCAGCAUCCCCAAACAGCUUGAUGUGUUCCAUCUUCUUCUGAUGAUUGUGAUCAGCAACGACCUGCAGCAGAGGCAUCCACUGCUAGUAUGUCUCCCAUAGUUACAGUGCUAGAAGGCUUAUCCUCCCAAUGUAAGAUUCCUGACUAAGUCAUCGAGCAUCCUCAGAAAAGGAAAGAGAGCCACCUCAAUAAAUACAUAGAAAUCAACCAAAAAUGCAUUAAAGAUUUAAAUUCCAGACCUGAAUCCAAAACUGGAGAAAAAAAAAAAAAAGACAGGAUAAAACCCCCAUGACAACCAUCAUCUAGUAUAGGCUAAAACCAGACAAAUGGAGGGCACCAUACUAAAACCAAAUUUUAAAAAAUGGAUAAAACUUCUUUGGCAUGUGUAUGGUCUAUAAAUAACCUUUUUCAUUAAAAUUAGUAGUUUAUAUCCAAAAUAUAAGGCACUCAAACAACAAGAUAACAGUAAGAAAAUAAUGUAUUUUUUUAAAAAAUGAUCAAAGUGGGGUCUGGGGAGAUGGCUUAGUAGGUAAAGAGCUUGUUGUACAACUAUGAAGGCCUGAGUUCAGAUCCCCAAUGCCCAUGUGAAAAACACCACGCAUUUAUAAUAGCAGUGGUAGGGUGAGCAGCCGGUCAGAACUUGUGGAUUUGGUAGCCAUCCAUCCAUGUGAGAUGGAGAACUCCAGGUGCAGUGAGAGGCUGUAUCUCAAACAAACAAACAAACAAACAAACAACC
rnacentral:lncRNA from 1 species